rnacentral:rRNA from 1 species
GUCCACAGCGACGGGGAGGUUUGGCACCUCGAUGUCGGCUCAUCACAUCCUGGGGCUGUAGUAGGUCCCAAGGGUUGGGCUGUUCGCCCAUUAAAGUGGUACGCGGGCUGGGUUCAGAACGUCGUGAGACAGUUCGGUCCCUAUCCGUCGCAGGCGUAGGAAAUUUGAGAAGACCUGUCCUUAGUACGAGAGGACCGGGAUGGACGUACCUCUGGUGUACCAGUUGUUCUGCCAAGGGCAUGGCUGGGUAGCUAUGUACGGAAUGGAUAAGCGCUGAAAGCAUCUAAGCGCGAAGCCAACUUCAAGAUAAGAUUUCCCACCGCAAGGGUAAGACCCCAGAAAGACUAUCUGGUUG